rnacentral:rRNA from 1 species
GAUCAUGGCUCAGGAUGAACGCUGGCGGCACGCUUAACACAUGCAAGUCGAGCGGAGAAUAGAGUAAGAAAGGCUUCGGCCCGGACGAUUUUAUUCUUAGCGGCGGACGGGUGAGUAACGCGUGGGUAAUCUACCUUGUACAGGGGGAGUAACGUAUAGAAAUAGUACGCUAAUACCGCAUAAGCCCACCGGGAGUCGCAUGAUUCUGAGGGAAAAGACGCAACGGUACAAGAUGAGCCCGCGUCCCAUUAG